rnacentral:rRNA from 1 species
AUACGUAGGGGGCGAGCGUUGUCCGGAAUGAUUGGGCGUAAAGGGCGCGUAGGCGGCCCGGUAAGUCUGGAGUGAAAGUCCUGUUUUUAAGAUGGGAAUUGCUUUGGAUACUGUCGGGCUUGAGUGCAGGAGAGGUAAGUGGAAUUCCCAGUGUAGCGGUGAAAUGCGUAGAGAUUGGGAGGAACACCAGUGGCGAAGGCGACUUACUGGACUGUAACUGACGCUGAGGCGCGAAAGUGUGGGGAGCAAACAGGAUUAGAUACCCUGGUAGUCCACACUGUAAACGAUGAAUGCUAGGUGUAGGGGGUAUCGACCCCUUCUGUGCCGCAGUCAACACAAUAAGCACUCCGCCUGGGGAGUACGGCCGCAAGGUUGAAACUCAAAUGAAUUGACGGGG